rnacentral:rRNA from 1 species
UACAGAGGGUGCGAGCGUUGUCCGGAAUCACUGGGCGUAAAGGCGCGUAGGCGGCUCGGUCAGCGUGCGGUGAAAGCCCGGGGCCUCAACCCCGGGUCGGCCGUGCGAACUGCUGGGCUGGAGCACUGUAGAGGCAGGUGGAAUUCCGGGUGUAGCGGUUGGAAUGCGUAGAGAUCCGGAAGAACACCGGGUGGCGAAGGCGGCCUGCUGGGCAGUAGCUGACGCUGAUGCGCGACAGCGUGGGGAGCAACGG